CCUACGGGAGGCAGCAGUGGGGAAUUUUGGACAAUGGGCGAAAGCCUGAUCCAGCAAUGCCGCGUGAGUGAAGAAGGCCUUCGGGUUGUAAAGCUCUUUUGUCAGGGAAGAAACGGUGGGAGCUAAUAUCUCUUGCUAAUGACGGUACCUGAAGAAUAAGCACCGGCUAACUACGUGCCAGCAGCCGCGGUAAUACGUAGGGUGCAAGCGUUAAUCGGAAUUACUGGGCGUAAAGCGUGCGCAGGCGGUUUUGUAAGUCUGAUGUGAAAUCCCCGGGCUCAACCUGGGAAUUGCAUUGGAGACUGCAAGGCUAGAAUCUGGCAGAGGGGGGUUAGAAUUCCACGUGUAGCAGUGAAAUGCGUAGAUAUGUGGAGGAACACCGAUGGCGAAGGCAGCCCCCUGGGUCAAGAUUGACGCUCAUGCACGAAAGCGUGGGGAGCAAACAGGAUUAGAUACCCUGGUAGUCCACGCCCUAAACGAUGUCUACUAGUUGUCGGGUCUUAAUUGACUUGGUAACGCAGCUAACGCGUGAAGUAGACCGCCUGGGGAGUACGGUCGCAAGNUUAAAACCGUCAAAGUAGUAGUGCGNGAGAGAGCGACGACGACGACGACGGAGGGAGGNG
rnacentral:rRNA from 1 species